GAUGAACGCUGGCGGCGUGCUUAACACAUGCCAGUCGAACGGUGAAGCUCCAGCUUGCUGGAGUGGACCAGUGGCGAACGGGUGAGUAACACGUGAGCAACCCGCCCCUGACUCUGGGAUAACAGCUGGAAACGGCUGCUCAUACCGGAUAUGCACCAUUAACGCACGUUCUGCGGUGGGAAAGAUCUUUCGGUCGGGGAUGGGUACGCGGCCUAUCAGCUCGUUGGUGAGUUAAUGGCUCACCAAGGCGCCGACGGGUAGCCGGCUUGCGAGGGUGACCGGCCACAAUGGGACUGAGACACGGCGCAGACUCCUACGGGAGGCAGCAGUGGGGAAUAUUGCACAAUGGGCGAAAGCCUGAUGCAGCAACGCCGCGUGAGGGAUGACGGCCUUCGGGUUGUAAACCUCUUUGAGCAGGGAAGAAGCGAGAGUGACGGUACCUGCAGAGAAAGCGCCGGCUAACUACGUG
rnacentral:rRNA from 1 species